CUGGUGCCAGCAGCGCGGUAAUCAGCUCCAAUAGCGUAUAUUAAAGUUGUUGCAGUUAAAAGCUCGUAGUUGAAUUUCGGGGUUAGUAGGUUGGUCAUGCCUCUGGUAUGUACUGGUCUCACUGAUUCCUCCUUCCUGAUGAACCGUAAUGCCAUUAAUUUGGUGUUGCGGGGAAUUUGGACUGUUACUUUGAAAAAAUUAGAGUGUUUAAAGCAAGCUAACGCUUGAAUACAUUAGCAUGGAAUAAUGAAAUAGGACGUUCGAUCCUAUUUUGUUGGUUUCUAGGAUUGACGUAAUGAUUAAUAGGGAUAGUUGGGGGCAUUAGUAUUCAAUUGUCAGAGGUGAAAUUCUUGGAUUUAUUGAAGACUAACUACUGCGAAAGCAUUUGCCAAGGAUGUUUUCAUUAAUCAAGAACGAAAGUUAGGGGGAUCGAAGACGAUCAGAUACCGUCGUAGUCUUAACCAUAAACUAUGCCGACUAGGGAUCGGAUGAUGUUAAUUUUUUAAUGACUCAUUCGGCGCCUUACG
rnacentral:rRNA from 1 species